CAGCUUCAGCACAUCUCAGCUGCUGUCAAUAAACUUUCUUGUGUGUGCCAGCUUCCUAUAGCAAUGGAAGCAAACCAGAACUGCCCACUUCUUAUGACAUUUUCCAUCAAUUUUUUACAAAGCCUGAGCAUUUGAAUAGUGCUUCACUGUUUACAGAGCAAUUUCCCUUUCUCACAACCAUCCUCAUUUUACAGGUGAAGGAUCUAAAACCUGAAAAGAGGCCAAAUGAUUCCUCAAAACCACGCAAGUACGAAGUAGCAGAGCGGAUCUCAAAUCCAGAGCACUGCGUGUUUUGAAAUAUACAAAUAGUGGGAAACGAAAUCUUUGUUCUGGAUGCAGUUAUAAUUUGGAAAGCGAGGAAAUAAAUUAUAACAAGGGGAAAAAACAGAAUACUACUAAAGUCAUGCCGUGUGACUUCUGAAGCUAGCUCCUAAGAAGUCCUUGCAGCUUCUGCCUGCGACUCUUAGAACACUUGCUUUGAAGGAUGCCAGAUGCUGUCUUAAAAGUCUGAGCACUCUGAAACCAUCAUGCUGUGAGGAAGCCCAAGCUAACCACAUGGGCAAAAAAGAUGCCCUCUGACUGCCACCAUUUGAGACACUCUAAUUAAGAACUGCCUCAUUGAGCCCAUGAGGCCCUGUGAAUGAUAAUAAUAAAUUGUUUUUAACCACUAUGUUUUUGGAUUUGUUAUAAGUUUAUAGAUAACAAGAAAAAGUUAUAUUAGCAUGGUAAUAAAAUUAUG
rnacentral:lncRNA from 10 species